AAGAAAGUCGGUAAUACUUUGAUUUAUUAAAAAAGAAUAUCGUACAUUUGUAGAUUUGUCAUAUACAAUGCAAUCAAACUUAAAAUUGACAUUAAAUAUGUAGCAUAAAAAGAUAAAUUGAGUCAUACAAAGCACAAUAUAAUUUGACAUUCAUAAGUAUCAGCAUCUAAAUCCAAAUAAAAUUUAAGCCCAACAAUAUGAUAAACACAGAUGAAGUACAGACAGAAUUCUGAAGAUUUAAAGUUGAAUCAACAUUUAUUUUGAUGAUGGACCUGCACAACAAACAUCAAUUUUAAAAAUCGUUAAAAUCGCUUUAUUACAUUGACGUACUAUAUGGCAAAAUUUGGAAAAUAAACUUAUGAUGCACUGGUCUUAUAAAUAUCUAAUUAAAAAUAUUCUUCAAUAUGUACCAAAAAAAAAAAUACUUCAAUGAACUAAAUAUCUUAAUUUUCUUUCAACAAUAUAAACAACUAAUUCAAAUAACUUACAUUGAUCAGAAUGGAUAAGAAUGUCAAUUGGACUCAUGCACAAUAGAUAUCCGCAAAAAUUACCCACAUUAAAUAUGAUAAAACUUGCCGUAUCAGUACAUAUACAUACAUGGAUAAUUUACCCGCAAAAAUGAGCGGAUAUGAGUGAGAGUACGAGUACCUAAUACCCACCAUGCCCAUAUUCGCAUAGUAUAUAUUUAUAUCUUUUAUUUAUAUUACUCCCACCGGUACUUUUUAUAAGGAACACUUUGGGAAAAAAAAUUGGUCUUUUUUAUAAGAAACUUUGACUAAUUUUCAAAUAUUUUAAAUGUUCAAUUUCACUUAUGCCCAUAUUUAUUAUGAGAGUGAAUUUAAAAAUCAGUAAGUUAGUUGAAUAAAGAGUAAUUAAAUAAGGGUAUACAUGAAAUAAAUUUAAAUUUAUAAGAGUAUUAAAUGAAAAUAACAAUAAUGUUAAAUGUGUUUUCUUGGUCUGUGUGAUUUUUUAAAAGUGUUCUUUAUAAAAAGGACCGGAGGGAUCAGUAUUAAAUAAAAAUACAAUUUUAAUAAUUAUUUAUUUAAUUAUUUAUUUAUUUAUAACAUAGAUCAACUACAAUGUGAAUAUGCCAACAAAACAUUUACGGGCAGGGGCGACUCCGAGUUUUAGGAGGCUCCGUGCAAAAUAUAAAAGUGGUCCCUUAAUAAAAAUAUAUAAAAAAAAAUAUAAAAGAAUUUUCAAUUUAAAUUGCAUAUAAUAUAUAAAAAAAAUCAUUCUUAUUCUUGUAAACAUAUAAAUUAUCAAUAUUAAACCAAUUGAAUUCAAUCAAAUGGGACAAGAAAUACAAAAUAAUUAUCUUUGUAUAUAACGUCAAAAAGGAACCUCCUAAUCGAUCUAAGGUUAAAAUUUAUGCAAAGAUUAAAAUGGACUAGAAAUAUAUUUACGAGUAUAGAUAACUAAUCUAUUGAUACUCAUGAUAUUUUAUGAACAUUAACAAUAUAUAACUAUUAUUUAGGGCCUAAAAAUUAAUCUAUUAAUAUACAUCUGAUAUUUUAUAGAUAUAAAUAAUAUAUAAGUAAUAUUAUAGGACCUCAAAAUUUUGAGUUGAAGCCUCAAAAUAAUUUUGAGGCCCGAUGCGAUCGCACAUCUUGCACAUGUGUGCAAGCCACCACUGUUGACGGGAAAAAAUUCAUGGACUAAAAAGUGUGAAAAAAUCUUAAUGGACUAAAAUAAAAAUUCUGAAAAACUAUAGUUCACCAAAAAUAUAUUUAACUCUAUAUGAUAUUAGGUCCAAAAGGGUUAAGAGGUAUCCUAGCUGUGAGAGAUCUCUCCUGAAUUUGGAGAAGCCACACCAAGCUUAAAACAGGAAGAUAAUGAAGAAAAUAAAAACCUUGUAUUUCUCUAGAUCAAAAACACCUAACCUUAAAUACUGUAUAUCAUUGACAGAGUGACAAAAAUUUUACCCCAAAAAAAAUACAUUUCAAAAUUUUAGUGAUUUUUUUAAAAUAUUGAUAUUUAUUUAAGUUCAUAAUUUAUUUUCCUCAAUAGUAAAUCAUAUGAUAAAACUUAACAUGAAAAACAAAGCAACAUAUUGAAGAAUUUCAUACUAACCUUUUGUCUAUUAUAUUGUAGUGAUACACUUGGAUACUUAAUUUCCUCUCGGAAGAGUACCAUAGGUUUCAUACAUUUGCACAGCUCUAAUAGAUCGGCAAGUAAGAUUUGGUACAUAUUUAUGAAUAUAUAACUGCAAACAAUAAUUUUGUAGACAUUAUUUUUUGAAGAAAAAAACUAUACAUUACUUUGAAUUUGAGAAAUAUGCAUGAAAUUUUUCAACGUGUGACAUGUAAUUUUAAAUAAAGUACCAACAAGUGAAAAAAGAAAGUAGAAGAAAGAAUUAAGAUAAUAAAUGAAGAUCUUACAACAUCCACCCAUCCACUUCUCCUUGUUUUAUGUUGCUCGAUCCAUCUUAAUUUGUAUUCAGGACUAAGACCUCUCUUUCUUCCCUAUAAGAUAAAGAAAAUGUAUAGAUAUAUAAGAUAUGAGAACAUGAAAUUAAUUGUGCCAAUAUAUAUGAUCCAUAUGAGAAUAGAUUAUUAAUUGUCUACUUAACUGUCUGUUAUCAAGUGGUUUCAACUCUCUUCUGUUCGUAUGGAUUAUUAAAUUUUAAUGGACACGAUUAUUAUUGAAAAAAACAGCUUUCAUUGGUAAAAUCUAGGUAUAAUAUUCAAGAGAAAAUAUGAUAGAUUAAAAUACAUAUUAGGCACACGUGUGCUUUUGGUGCAUAUAAUUUUUUGUUUUAAUAAUUCCUGGGACCAUAAAUACUAUUCAAGCAGCCAACAGUUGAAUGAUUUGGAUUAAGAAUUCACAAGUAAAUCAAUAAUUAAUAAUCUAUUUAAUUAAUUGGUCUACAUACAUGCAUAAAAAAUUGCAAAAUUAUAAGAAAAUGUUAAAUAGUGUUUUUUUUUUUUUUAUGUUAAAAAAAAGUAUAUUUAAAAGAAAACAUUAAAUAGUGUCUUCGAGACCAAUAAAUAUAUGAUAAAGUGGGCUAACAAAUAGUACUAAGAAUGAUCCAAUAAGAUACGUCCUAUAAGUCCUAGCUCAACUGACAAAAAUAUCAAAAUUGUUAGGCUGAAUAUCAUGACCCGGGUUCGAACUCGAGAUAUCACAAUUAUAUGUGAAUUUAAUUUCAGUAAAUAAUUAAUUAUCACUUCAUCUCAGACAAAAAAAAAAUCUAUAACAUACGAAUUAAUACAUAUAAUUUGUAUCAUCUUUCCACUUGAUAUCCUUCAAAAAAUUAAAAAGAAUAAAAAUAACAUGGACAAAAGUUGACAUGCUUGAUAGACUGAUAAUAAAGUGAUGUUAGCUUAUUUCUCUGGAGAUUUUGAAGUAAGUGUUUGACUCUUUGUUAUUUUUUUUGUACAAUGACUCUUUGUUCUUUAUUUCAGGCAACAUGUGAAAUUAGUACUACUUAUUAAAUAAAAUACCAACAACAGAAACUAGAAAGUACUACGAUUAAUUUUUUAUGAGGUUGAUUAUAUUAUAAAGUUGGCUAACCAACAAUUAUUAUAACCAAUAUUCUACAAAAAAAAAAAACCAGUAACAUACUUAUUUUUUUGAACAACCAGUAACAUACUUAUCAAUAAAUCUAUUUAAAAUAAUUAACCAAGUAUAUAGAGCUUGAAUUUCAGUGUCGAUUUUAAUAAAUGACUUUGUGAUUUGUGGAAACUUUUUGGGAUAUAUUUUUUGUUUGUGGUAUAAUAUGCAUUUUUUGUAUAUUACUGUCAGGUUUCCAGAAAAAGAAAAAAAAAAGACUCUGGUAAUCCUAUAGUUCGUCCGUAAAGUAAAAAAAAUUUGGUUAAAAAUUAUUCACCAUGAAUCGAACACGAUUCGUCCUAAAGUGAAUUCAUCAUUAUACCAUUUGAGCUCAAUGUCGUUUAAUAUGUCAUCUAAGUAACAAUAUUGAGAUAGAUAUAACCUCUGGUAUAUAUGUUGGAUCUUUGUUCCUCUUUCAAUAGAAAAAACUUUAAUCUAAAAUUUACAAGAAAAUGAAUGAAGAUCUAACAUUGUAGAAAUUGAUCUAUAUAUCAUAUUCCUCUUCCAUCAGAUUCAAGAUUAUAGUUUUAAUAAAUAUUUAAAACUUGUUGAUUUAAUCCAAACCUAACAAUUAUAAGUUAGAUUGACUGAGAUUAAAACCACAAAGUAAGGGGUAUAUAGAUAUUGAUCCAAGUUUUUAUACAUGCAAGAUCUAUUAAAAAUAUAACUUUCUAUCAUCUUUCCACUUGAGAUCUUUAGAAAAUUGAAAUGGAUCAAAAUAUAAAAUUUGACAUGCUUAAUUGCUAAGAAUGAUGUCACUGUUUCUAAGGCUACAUCAAAAAUAAAACUAAAAACAAAAUCCUGAUCCAGAUCCACAACCCUUCAUUUUUAUUUCAGGAAAGAUCUGAGUGUGUGAGUCCAAAUUUUUAGUAAUUGUGGUCCGAUCAAAAAAUAAUUUCAAGAAAAAAAAAAAGAAAGCAUUCAAAAUUAUAAGAAUUAAAGUUGAUGAGACUGAAAAUUAAGUUAUUAGAAUGAGUUACCUUUUCUCCUGCAAAAGAUUUCUGAGUAGAUGAGUCAGAGCACUUAGUCAUCUUUGUCUUCUACAAAGGCGCUCUAGUUGAUGGUUAAAGAGAAGGAUAACUGUUAACGUAUGCAAACACAAAGUUAAUAUACAAGGUGAGCUGCCCUAGAAAGUUCCAGAGCACUCUAGAAAAUCACUGUUAUAAUGCACUAUUUUUGAGCUAUAACUAAUCUAUCAUUUUAUUUCCUAAGUGUCUCAUUUUAUAGUUCAU
rnacentral:lncRNA from 1 species